rnacentral:lncRNA from 1 species
GUGUAACAUUAUAACUGUAAGACAUAGAUACAUAGGGUCUUUCAAUUUGAAAUCCAUGGUCUUAUCUAGGCUGGUAUCUAUUAUGAGUUUACUUAUAUUUAUGACUUUGGACAACAUGUACCAAAAUGUUCCAAUUUUUUCUUCAUAUAUAUUUUGUAUCACUUCUACUGUAUCUUGUUAGAGAAUAAUCUGGAAGUAACUUUUUUCCAAAAUAGAUGUAGCCAAUUGUCACCCCUUUUCAAGUAAAAAUAUAGAAACCAC